AUUUCUAUGAAUGUGUACGACAUAUAUAAUAUUAAGAACAGGUGUCAGUGUGAUGAGAACGUUUUUGAUAAUAUAGUCGGAUAAUAUAUUCGUGAUACACUUUAUUUUAUUGAGAAGUUACUAAACAAUGAUGUUGUGAUCGGCGGGAAAAUAAUUAUUUGCGAUGUCUAAAAUUGAAUGGGAUUGAUUAAAAGAAGAACAAUACUGGAAAAGCUGAUGACUGUGACAAAAGGCGCUAAUCGAAGAAAAAAAUAUCAGAGACGAACAAUUACACAUGAAUAAGAUAUACAUGAUCAAGAGAAGAACGAAUAUACAUGCAUAACAUCACAGGUCAAAUAUUGAACAAGGAUCAGAAGAAAGAAUAGAUUUAGACAUUUGUGAAAGGAACAAUGGAAACUUUGGAAGUUUACUCUUUCUGAAACGUAUAACUACAACAAAGAUGUGAUCAUUGUAUUAGAAACUGAAUUUCCCAGUCUUCUAGUGGUUUAACUAGCUUACCAAGGCAUAUACCUUCAUGAUUUAUGCACUUAUCUUUUUCAUGUAUUUUUUUCUUUUUAUAUUAUAUCAUAUCGAAGUAGCAUUGAAAAAAAACGGGAAUAUAUAAAUAUUUAAGAGAAAGUUACUACAUUUUGUACCUGGAAUAAUUUAUUUUAAUAAAGAGAAGAUACGACGUGUCAUUGAUUCUUGAUAUUAGCACAAUUGUAUUUGUUAUUGAUAUCUCAUUUUGAUGGAAUAUAGUGGAAUUGAGAUACAUCGGUUGGACAAGCGAUGCGACCUUGACUCAGCCCAUAUUUUUUCUAGUAUAGCUUACCUUUUUGAUCUUAUUUAAAAUUCCUAUUUAAAUAAAAACUAUUUAUUUGUUUUUAUUGGAUUGUUCGACAAAGAUUAAAGAUAUCAGAAAUUUAUAGCUAUGUUUCUUACGAAGCUUUUAAACUUAGUUACUUACAGAUUAUAUGUAUAGUAACACUUAAGAAUUAGUGACUUUAACUAUGUUUUCCAUUUUAAAAUUAGAAAGCAUUUGUAACGGGUAUCAGGUGUAAAUUGUCUCAGUUAUAAAGCUUUGUAUAAGCGGUUGUUAAGUAAGACUAUGUAUUGGUCAAAAUAGUAGGAAAGCUUUUACUUGCGAGGAACCCCGUGUUCGAUUUUUCAGUCGGACAUAUUUUUUGUGGAUUAAGCAUUUUUAAAAUAGUUUAGAAACAAAAGAUAAUGUUCUAAUACUCAUAAUAUGACAAACUUUCAAGUAGGAUCAUUCUUAGCCUAUAAAUCUGGAGUCCAUGUGUUUUUUUUUUAUUUCUUAUUAUACAUUUCUCUGUAAACCUAUUGAAUUUCUUCUAAAUUGCAUACUUUUACCCUUUAUAAUAAAUACGUUAUUAUUAUUUUGAGUAAGCAUGUAGCUGAAGCUGCUUUGUCUGUCUGGGCAACAUCAAAGCGUAUAUAUCAACAAACACUAAAAAUUAACAGAUAAAAGUGAAAAAUGUGAAUUGAAACAUUCGCUUUUAUCUUAAUUUAAUAGAUAAAAGAAAAUUAUAAGGGGAUUCAAACCAGGAACUAAAGAACUAGGAAAUUCUACACGGUCGGGUAGGCAUAACGCUUUACCAUACGGCCGAUCAGUCAGUAAAUAGUAUGUAAAUAUUUUUCAUUAACUGUGUGGUUCACCUUGCUCAAAUGACAGGUCAUCCCUAUCAAAAUUUCUAGUUUUAUGCAUGUGCAGGCUUUUCAUUUAUUUUGCAAAUAAGUUAUAAUUUAUAUACAUACACAAGACACUGGAAAAAAUUAUCAGCCGCGGAUAGGGUAGUAUUGAUACAACAACACCUUUAUAUUUUACUCUGCAGGUCUUAGUCGUGUAACGUAUCGUUGACAUUACAGUUGUUAUAAUGAUAUCUUAAAACAAUGUGCGUCAUUUCAAGUCUUAUGAUUCACAGGUUUUGAUUUAUUCAUGCUAAUGUUAAGGAUCUGCCACAACAUACAUGCUUGUAUUUGUUAAAGGGAGCAAACUCAAAUAAAAGGGUUCAAUUUUAAUAUCUUUUUACAAUUUUGAAUUAAGAAGAAACCAAUUAAAGGGAGCAAACUCUUUGAAAGAUAAACGUUUUAUUCUGUAUUUAUUUUGAGCUGUAAUGCAACUUCUGUUGUUGCAGACUUACUGUGUGAGUACUUAUUUUAAUUAGAAAUAGUGUACCGGUAAGACUAUGUAAGCACAAAUAUUGUCAACAUAUUAUUUACAUUUUAUAAGGUAAAACAUUGUUAAUAUUAUUAACCUGCAAAGAUUAAAUUAAAAUCUGUGAAAUGAUCGUGAAUUUUUCGUCUUACGACUUCCCUGUCAAAAAGUAAAUCAAGAUUAUAUGGAAAUAUUAUUGGUGCAAUAGCUAAAACUAACAUCGCAUUCGUUUCUGCAGUCGAUAUGUGUGCUUGUUUCAGUAGAAUGAUUGCUAUUUCGGAGAGAUUUGUAUUUUUUUCACGUCGUCUUUAAUGCAGAUCUAGCAUGAGUUUAAACUCGUUUUUCUGUCCAGUUAAGUAGGUAUCAUUUUGAUUAGUAAACAUUGUUGGAGCAAAGGGGAAAUGUUACAAUAAACUAAUUUUCAACUUCAUUUGAAAGAAAAUAUAAAACGUGUUAAUUUGCAAACUUUCAACUUUAAGAUAUUUAUUUCUCUGUGUAAUACCGGUAGCUGAUUUCAUCAGACUUUUUGUUGCAUUAGUU
rnacentral:lncRNA from 1 species